UGAGAAUCACGAUCCACAGGUCGACAGCCACGAUCACUCUUAACACAUACAAUCUUCUUUAAUUUACUUUUCAUUCUUUAUUAUCCAAGACUAGCCAGUAGCCAUGACAUAUACCUUCGUUAAAGUCUUAAGCUUCGCAGUACUUACAAACGGUAAAAAUUGUCGUCACUGAAUGUUUGGGAUGGAUCUAAAAAAAGGAAGAAGAAACGUUAACGAAAUCAUUUCGAUAGCAUCUCCAGGACCGUUUCCAUCUCUCAACAUGGCGAAUGGCUAGACUGAAUAGUAUACUUGGACCGAUACCUUCGAAACUGGGAUUUCUACGUGAUUUGGUACCACGCUAGCAGAUCAACCAGUGGGCAGAUGUCGAAGUGAAAUCUGCAGUAAUCUCCUGUAACUAAUACGCCAUUCAGUUGACAGUUUGACACCAUAUUAAGGAGAUUUUCUAUUCCACCCAACCUGGACCAGCCAGAGAGCUUGACGCAAGUGAACUGAUUCGGGGGGUUUUUGCAUCCCUAAAGUAAUUCCCAAACCACCAUAUUAGCUUAUCCGAUCAAAGGAAAAGCCACCGUAAAUUUUGGUACCUUACGAGCCAGUAUCAAUCCAUCGUCCUUAAAAUUGCUACAAAUGAAAGAGAUAGUUAAAGUUCAUAGGUGUUCCUCGGAGGAGCUACGUCGAUGUAAACACUCGAGGACUUGACUGAUGGACAGCAGGAUUGGUGCUGGAUUAUUGAAGAUACCGUCUGUUAUGCACGUCUGUAACAGACUGCUUUGACCGGAAAGCUGCUGAGUCCAGGCCGUCAGUGUCGACACAAAAAUGAGGGUUACCUGGGUGGUGGCCAGUUCUGCAUCCCAGAUCAGCUAUCAUCAAGUUAAGCAGGACAUGGAAGACUCCCGGAAAAUCAGUUAUACUCUAUUCAUCUAUCAGCGUGGUAUCAUUUUACUGUACAUGUGCAUCUGACUACAAUGGUUGGCCGGACUACUGACAUAUGCCUGCCGAUCACAAUAAGGAAAAACUUGAAAAUAGUUCUCGAGAGAUCUGCGCCCUUGGAAAACCAAUAUGACGUCGCAUCAUCAUUGUACUAUUGUUUUUCGCCAGCCUUGCAUUCAACCGUCGAUGAAAGCGAAGAAAAUGAUCGCAUCUAUCGGGACGAUAGGUGGAAGGGAGAGGUUACCGAAAACAUCGCUGGAGCACCUCCUAAACGGUUUCCAUCAUCAGUGCGUGGUGUAAUAGCUUAGACGUACAUCCAUAGUAUGGGGCAAUUGGUGGUAGUUUGGCCGAUAUCUCCGAGUCUGGAAGCUCAACUGGUGGCCGGUACUCCAUAUCAGCUACUAAGUCCUCUAAGAUGCAGUCAAGGCUUUAAUCUGGCAUUUUUGAAAUCAAAUUCUCUUCAAACCUCCCAUGCCUUUCAUCGUGAUCCGAAGCUAAAUAAGAAUUUUCAUAGCUGUCGCGUGACUGUUGACGAAAGACGAGGUUCCGAGUUGAUGGGGUACUCUGUCAUAUUGUCGGCAAAUCAGAUUGCCCAUUACAUUCAGUUCAAACAUCAAGGUUGUUUUGAUGCAAACAGACCGCAUUGACAGCGUUCAUUCAAAUCACCAAGUCCUUGAAGAUGAGAAUAUCGGAGGUGACUCAGUCCGAAUUAUAUUUUAUUCAUUUUCCCUCCUCCCAGUGUUAUCUCUGUGAGAAAACAAACAACUGCCAUAAUAUCGGAAUGGACAUUACCUCGCCCUAUCCAGUGUGUUUGUGCUAUCAAUUGCAUCAAAAGUAGCAUAUUUUAUGCAUGUGAGAAUCGGAAAAAUAAUCCUGCAGAGAUAUUCAUCCUAGGCCCAAACCAACAUGAUGUUCGCAUCGUCGUACGAUCCUUUCUCGCAAGGUCCCCUAUAUUCAACUGUUGACAAAAUGGGAGAAAAUUAUCACAUCUAUCACUCUAUCAGCAGGACUGAUGCUGUAAUGGUCACCGAGCAGAGUUGUCUGAGCCGUCAAUGUCGACACAAAAAUUGGGUUAACCUUGUUGGUCGCUAGAACUGCAUACAGAUCAGCUAUCAUAACGUUAAGAUCCCUCUUUUGGUUUGAAUUCCGGAAAGGGAACUUCUGGUCCAGCCAGGAUACGUUGUUUGUGCACAUUCCACAGCCCGAUAAAGUGCAUCUUUGUCACUGGGUCAAGAUUGUCGAUUAUUUCACCCCGCAUCAAUGCUGCUAUGUUGGCGUAAAUAGCUCCAUAGUCGACCCUUCCGACUGGAGAUUGAGCUGGGUAUGUUCCAGAGUGCAGUUGGAAGUGGAGUGGCAGAUUUUCAGAGUAGUCAACACCUUUCAUCUGGCGCAGUUCUUCAAUUUUUGUGUUCAAAACAAUUUCCCAAGCAGCCUUAUCCCUGUCUUCCUCAAAUUGAGUGAAUAGAUAGCGUACGCUAUCAACAGUUUGGUUGGGAAAUUGGUCCGCCAAUUUCUUGAAAUCUCCAUCAAAACCGAUUUUAAAGAUGGAGAGGAGUCUUUCUUGUUCUUCUAUGCUCCAAUCUCCGAAUCCUUUUUUCAUCUCUGGGACGGAGUUCUUAACCUGUAUCGAAAAACAUUCAAAGACUAUGUUUAGGCGUCACGUCUCCAGCUUUAGGGCAUUGUGUGGGAGAGGCCUGUGCUGCAUUCUACAAACAACACAUGUUUAAAGGAUUAAUGAAUUUCUCAUUUCCACAGCAUCAACACUUUUGGAGGUAGAAGCACGCUCCCAUCUCCCUGCCCUUUCUUCAUUGGAAGAGUGACUUUCUGCUGCUGUUCCUUCUUCCCCAGAAAAUAAUUUCCUCCGUUUUCCUCUGUUAUCUUUUCUUGAACUGUGUUCUGGAGUAUUACUCAUUUUUUCACUCACUGAAUCUAAGAAACACAAAUGAAUCACGGUUAAUUAUGACAGCUUGACAAAAACCAGUAGAAUAAUAUUACGUAAUGAGAAACUGAAGAAAAAUUUUAAGUCUUCAAUACUCGAGCAACUGCCAACUGUGGUACUCGAGCAAAGUCAAGGUAUUUCAAACUUUUUCUCAACCAGGAAGGUACGAGUACGAACUUCGAGUCAAUUCCGUCAUAAGCAGUCACUACAGUCACGAAUUCACGAUACACAAUCUAACAAUCACGAUGCUACAGUCACGCAAUCACAACCUCUCGUGCUCUCGAGUUUCGAAUCCAGAAUCAGCUGGUAACGUGUACUGGAAUUUAUACUUGGCAAUUCCGUUUGAUCAUGUGGCCUGCCGUACAAUUUCCCAAAAUGUCGUCUCUUGCUCUUGUUAUAUUUUGCACGUUUCGUCACAAGAUGAGGUAUUUCCACGCCAUUCGACCAAGCUGAACCAAAAGUGAACCAUUUAAAACAACAUGUCAAAGAUCUUGCCUUUCUCCACGUGGUCACUGCCUUUGCAUGAAGUUGCGUUUUUGUGAGGGUCUCUACUCUGACUAAUGUGAUGAAAAGAAGAAAUAUGAAUAGGUGGCUUUGUUGCAGCCAGCUGGUGAAAGGGAGUUCAAGUCAAGUUGAGCUGCAGCUUCUGUAAGCAGUCUACAUCUCUGGUGUUAUCCUGAAGUGGGGAAGUGUUACCUCAAGUGUAACAGCAAAAAAUACAUCUUGAAAUGGACAUGGUGAUAAUGUGAUGCAUCUUCAUGCAGUCUAUACAGGUGGUGUUUUUGUAGAAGCAAGACUUGAAGCUUAGCUACAAGAAUAUUUUCUGAAAUGUCAAAAGUUCAACUCUAAACUGACACAGGAAUUAAGUGACAGAGACCACAAUUCUUCCCGUCUUUCGUGUUGAUUCCGUUGCCCAUAAUAAUGAUGGAUUACUCACGUUAUGUGCCUGGCAUGUAUAUCAUUCGCUUUCCCCUCCCUGGCCGUGAACUUGGGGAAUUAGGAAGCCAUGGUUGUAGUGCGUGUUUGAUCCAGCGUGACUUUAAUCACCUUCACACAAUUCCAUGGCGUCACGUGAAGAAACGAGAAUCAAUAACGAUUCCGGUCUGGUGACGACAUCGAGAAGUCUGGGUUUCCGUUCAGCCACACAAGAUAUUGCAUCUAUUGAAUUGGGAUCGUUAAAAACAUCACGUGUCGUUGCACCUUAACGACGAUGGGCGUAUUUGGUUGCGCCACGUUGACUUUAAAAGAGGAAGGAAGAGAGUGAGGGCGCGGGGGGGUUUGCGACCUCCAGAGGGGACAGAGAAAGACGUCGGAAUCUUCUUCUUCUUUUUGUAAAAGACUUUGGCAGCGACCUCCUCCUCCUCCUGUAGUCACCAUAGAGGAUAGGUUUAAAAAGCCUACGACUCGAGUCUGCACGUGUUCAGUUGCCGGCCGAGUGUCGAGACUUGCACAACGAUCUCAGCAAACUACUUGGAAGAGAACAGGUGAUGAGAAUAUGAUGGCCAACUUGUUGAUGUUCCUCACCGCUGCGUUCCUGACGGUUCCUGAUUUCGUCCGGAAGCGUUCAUUCAGCUGCUGCCAAGAACAGAAGAGGACGUCAAUGGACAGGAGAGUUGGCAGAACCGAUUGAUUGCAGUUUUCCGCUUAAUGUCGGACGAAAUUCAUCAACGUCACAUAAUUCACUAAUCGAACGAGUUUCUUUCUGCCAUUUUACCACAAAUGGGCCGUAUGUCGACGGUACACUUCCUUUCGGAGCCGGACCCAGUGGCGAACGCCAACUCGACUCGUACUGCGACGCCUGGACGUCCAGCGACGCCAAGACGUCCGGAGUGGCCGCCUCUCUCAUCACCUCCUCUCCGUCCCACCAACACCAGCAGCAGCAGACGGGCGGCAGUGGCAAGUUGCUGGACCAGGACAAGGUCUCCUGUCAGAACCGAUUCGUCGCCCUGUGCAUCGAAGCCACCAGCCAAGUGGUCGCCACCGGUGGCAGUGGGCGGGUGAAGCGGACGGCCGAGCACAUCAUCUCGGAAGAUCACUGGAUUCACUGCCAAGCCCACCUUCAGUCUCUCUUUUAAGAUGUUCAUUUGUCGUGUUCCAGAAAUCUCUCUCACGCAAAUUUUCGAUUUAAAUCUGAAAAUGAUUGGCAAAAAUGACCCACGAGUCGGCCAAAGACCCGAAGGCAGUUCUUUGUCUCUGCAUUUCCUUUUUUAAAAAAUGUUUUCUAAACUUGUGCAGCUUUUUUUGGGGAGGAUUAUGAAACAAUCCGACGACAAUUGACCCAAAAUGUCGUCGUUGGCGAUUUAUAUAUUUAUGAAUUUAUACCCCUUCCUUAUUUUUCUCUCGCCCCCCGAGGAAUGAUGAGAUUGUCUGUGUGUGCGUGUUGCAUCAGUCACAAAAUGUGUUUUGCGUCUAAAGUCUUUGAUAUAACACGUAUAUAGCAACUACCAAUUACCCUUGUUAGAUGUCGCUGGCAUCGCUUUGUUUUCUUGUCACGUCAAAAGUUCUUGCUGCUUUUCAUGCUGCUUUCUUCGUGAUUUUCUUUACCUUUUUUGGAAUAAAUUCAACGCCGUUUAAAAUGAGAAAACGUGUUGAAAGGGUCGUGCAGCUUACUGCUGUG
rnacentral:lncRNA from 1 species